rnacentral:rRNA from 1 species
UACGGAGGGAGCUAGCGUUGUUCGGAAUUACUGGGCGUCAAGCGCACGUAGGCGGCGAUUCAAGUCAGAGGUGAAAGCCCGGGGCUCAACUCCGGAACUGCCUUUGAAACUAGAUUGCUAGAAUCUUGGAGAGGCGAGUGGAAUUCCGAGUGUAGAGGUGAAAUUCGUAGAUAUUCGGAAGAACACCAGUGGCGAAGGCGACUCGCUGGACAAGUAUUGACGCUGAGGUGCGAAAGCGUGGGGAGCAAACAGG